UUUCACCUGGACAGCCCUUCCAAAAAAAACAGGCAACCCCAAGUGUGAUAAGCCUCACCUGUAGCUAAAAGGUGGAGCUCAAGAGUGGCUGCUCUCUGCCCCUUUUCUGGGAGAAAGGAGAGUAUCUGAAAUUGUAGGGGAACUCUUACACUGCAUGCAACAGGGUGUUUGUCACUAGGAUUGCUGCUGGAUAGUUAAGGAGUCUUUUCACAAGGAGGCAACAACUGGCUACUAUCUGCUGCCCUAAAGGUGUGAUCCACAGCUGCUUCAGAGAGAGGGAGAGAGUACUAGGAAUCUCCAAAGGACUGUCUCAUGCUCAACUCCCUCUCUUUGGACGGUCUCCUUCCCAAGUGUCUGAAAUCACAAGCAACCCACUUGUGCCGAGGACCUCAGCUUCUUGGAACAAAGACAAAUCUAAAUUCUGUAACAGAUGAUUGGGCUCAUGCUCAACUGUCUCUCUUGGACGGUCUCCUUCUAGAGUGCCUGAAAUCACAACCAACACACUUGUGCCGAGGAUUCUGCUAAUUGGAACACAGAUAAAUCAAAAUUCAGCAACAGAUAAUUG